UUAGGGGUUUCUGGUUUUUCAAGAAAUGAAUUUAAUUCAUACGUCUUAUUUAGAGUUUUAUUAUUUGUUUAUUUAUUUUUAUUUGGCGUUAAGAUUGGGAGGGAUUAGCUUCUUAUUUUAUUUUUAUAAUUUUUUGUUUAUUUAAUCUUGUGGGUUUUAUAGUGAUUUUCAAUUUGAUUAUGUUAAAAUUUUAUUUGUUUUGUUCUUUAUUUUUGUUUAUUUAAUUGUUUAUUGAAAUGUGUUCUUUAUCUUGUUUUGGUUAGUAAUUAUUGUAGAAUUAGUAAAUUUGUUGUUAGGUUGUUUUAUUUGUGUUAAUUUUUUUUGAGGAACUAGGCAAAUUUCAUGUCCGCCUGUUUAACAAAAACAUCUUUUCUCGUUAGUUUUUGAAGUAUGGCCUGCCCGCUGACUUUGGUGUUGAAGGGCCGCGGUAUUUUGACCGUGCAAAGGUAGCAUAGUCAUUAGUUCUUUAAUUGUGAUCUGGUAUGAAUGGCUUGACGAGGCAUGGGCUGUCUUAAUUUUGAAUUGUUUAUUGAAUUUGGUCUUUGAGUUAAAAUUCUUAGAUGUUUUUAUGGGACGAGAAGACCCUAUAGAGUUUAACAUUUAUUAUGGUCCUUUCUCUGUUUGUGAGGGUUCACUGGGCUGUCUAAUAUGUUUUGUUGGGGUGAUGGGAGGGAUUAAUUUAA
rnacentral:rRNA from 1 species